rnacentral:rRNA from 1 species
UGGCGGCGUGCCUAACACACGCAAGUCGAACGGUCUCUUCGGAGAUAGUGGCGGACGGGUGAGUAACGCGUGAGAAUCUACCUUUAGGUUCGGGACAACAGUUGGAAACGGCUGCUAAUACCGGAUGUGUCGCAAGAUGAAAGAUUAAUUGCCUGAAGAUGAGCUCGCGUCUGAUUAGCUAGUUGGUGGGGUAAAGGCUUACCAAGGCGACGAUCAGUAGCUGGUCUGAGAGGAUGGUCAGCCACACUGGGACUGAGACACGGCCCAGACUCCUACGGGAGGCAGCAGUGGGGAAUUUUCCGCAAUGGGCGAAAGCCUGACGGAGCAACGCCGCGUGAGGGAGGAAGGCUCUUGGGUUGUAAACCUCUUUUCUCAAGGAAGAUAAUGACGGUACUUGAGGAAUCAGCAUCGGCUAACUCCGUGCCAGCAGCCGCGGUAAUACGGAGGAUGCAAGCGUUAUCCGGAAUAAUUGGGCGUAAAGCGUUCGUAGGUGGUGAUGUAAGUCUGCUGUUAAAGCGUGUAGCUUAACUACAUAUAGGCGGUGGAAACUACAUGACUAGAGUGCGUUCGGGGCAGAGGGAAUUCCUGGUGUAGCGGUGAAAUGCGUAGAUAUCAGGAAGAACACCGGUGGCGA